AAUGGCAGAAAGCGGAUGAACUGAAUCAUUACUCAAAGCCCGCUUCGCGCUCAGAAGGGAAUAUCGCAUCUCAUCAUCGUGGGUUGCGAGAUCAAACACUUUAGAAACACAUUUCUCAAGUCAAGAACUAUAGAAAUGAUCCCUGAAAGUAUAGUCUUAAUUAAAUUGAGGGCGAGCGAGGGUAGCGUAUGUUGGAGCUGCUAUUCUGACUAACGGUUUCCCACCGUAUAAAGAGCACACUAUAGUACCACGUGUCUGAAAUCAUGCUUAUCGGGCUACUUUUCAUUAAUAGGUCACAUAUUGUCGUGUUUUAUGCCCAAGAAAGCUUCAUAAAAUACAUUUUCAAGUUGCUCCACAAUAGAACUUUGCAAAUGAGGGAGGUGCCAGAAGGUACUCAUUGCAGUUUUUAUGGGACUAGCAUUGGCUGAAAAAAUCAAUGGCCUACAAUAGAGAACAUACAAGAAAAACCUUUUUAGAAAUCAAAUGUAAUUGAAAAGGUAGAGUUCUGACUGGAUUAAAAUCACAUAUCUCCUAUACAACGUCAUAGCAAGGCUAACAGGAACAUUAAACAGUAUUGAAACCAACUGUUGUGUAAAUAGUGAUAAACUCUUUCAUAACCUGAACUACAAUCCAUGUACCAAAGAAGUUAAUAUUUACAAUAUGAAGAGCUAACCACUCUGAUCAUAUUCCCUCCCUCAUUGCUCCACAAGGAAGCAAAGAACGGUCAUCAAUGGCAGAGAGCGGAUGAACUGAAUCAUUACUCAAAGCCCGCUUCGCGCUCAGAAGGGAAUAUCGCAUCUCAUCAUCGUGGGUUGCGAGAUCAAACACUUUAGAAACACAUUUCUCAAGUCAAGAACUAUAGAAAUGAUCCCUGAAAGUAUAGUCUUAACGUGUCUUUGGGCGAGCAAGGGAAGUCUAUGUCGGGACAAGCAUUUCCACUAACGGUUUAAUCUAAAUGGUCAUCGUCUGCGAGAUUUACAGAGAGAGACGAGGAGGAGGACGACACGGCAUGCGGUCAAAAAGGAGGAGGACGAAGAGGAGGAGGAAGAAGAGGAAGAAGAGAAAGGUCACAUGUUAGAAUAGAUGCAUGCAAGGAGAGACACUCUGGCUCAAAUGCACAACAGGAGUACUGCUACCGUAAACCAACACACUUGUAGCUACACAACAUAACACAACGUGCUCUACAGGUAUUACUUCUCUAUAGGUCAUAUUUCUACCAUAAAGUAAACAAAGCUUGCAUCCAAAAUGGCACCCUGUUUCCUCGAACGUGACCUACUUUUGACCCAGAGCCCUGGUCAAAAGUAGUGCACCACAUAUGGAAUAGGGUGCCAUUUGGGACAUCCACUAUGUAAAGGAUAAAGUGUGUGUUCACAACGUGCCACACUGGUCAUACAGCUCCCAAAACAAACCGUCAGAUUGCCACAGAUAGCACCAUAUGAUUGUAUCAUUCACAUGGCACCUUAACAUACACCUACCAUUAGCAUAACGUUAUCCUAACGUUAAAGAGACAGCGUAUCUGAUUCUGUUAUUGAAGGAGCACGGAGGAUCAGCGGGCCACAUAUUAGACCAUCUGGGCUGUGUCUGAAAUGGCCCCUUGUU